UACGGAGGGUGCUAGCGUUGUUCGGAAUUACUGGGCGUAAAGGGCGCGUAGGCGGCUGCUCAAGUCGGGUGUGAAAGCCCGGGGCUCAACCCCGGAACGGCACCCGAGACUGGGCGGCUCGAGACCGGGGAGAGGUGGGUGGAAUACCCAGUGUAGAGGUGAAAUUCGUAGAUAUUGGGUGGAACACCGGUGGCGAAAGCGGCUCACUGGCCCGGUUCUGACGCUGAGGCGCGAAAGCGUGGGGAGCAAACAGG
rnacentral:rRNA from 1 species